rnacentral:lncRNA from 1 species
GGGAGAGCAGGUGCAGCAGGGGAGAACAGGGACAGCAGGGGAGAGCAGGUGCAGCAGGGGAGAGCAGGUGCAGCAGGGGAGAGCAGGGACAGCGGGGGAGAACAGGGACAGCAGGGGAGAGCAGGUGCAGCAGGGGAGAGCAGGGACAGCAGGGGAGAGCAGGGACAGCAGGAGAGAGCAGGUGCAGCACGGGAGAGCAGGUGCAGCAGGGGAGAGCAGGUGCAGCAGGGGAGAGCAGGGACAGCAGGGGAGAACAGGGACAGCAGGGGAGAGCAGGUGCAGCAGGGGAGAGCAGGUGCAGCAGGGGAGAGCAGGUGCAGCAGGGGAAAGCAGGUGCAGCAGGGGAGAGCAGGGACAGCAGGGGAGAGCAGGGACAGCAGGGGAGAGCAGGGACAGCAGGGGAGAGCAGGGACAGCAGGGAGAGCAGGUGCAGCAGGGGAGAGCAGGUGCAGCAGGGGAGAGCAGGUGCAGCAGGGACGCCCGCCUUUGGUCCUGAGGAGGUCUGUGCACAUCAAGUGAGAAAAGACCUGACUGAGCUAGCAGCACCUAUCCAGGCUUUGUCUCCAACCUGGAAAGGAAGCAGGUGUUACGAAUGGAUGGGCCCUUUCCAUGCUAUACCAGACGCUGCCUAUGUCUGACUUUAGUAUCUUCUUACUGGGCUCACCUGACACUUGCUGGGGACAAGUGAGAGCAGACUUCCAGAGAGCUUCCCCAAGGCUGUAAACCCACCACUUGUUAGAAGAUGACAGUUCAGGAUGUUCCUUGCCCUGCCCAU